rnacentral:rRNA from 1 species
ACGCUCAUGGACGAAAGCCAGGGGAGCGAAAGGGAUUAGAUACCCCUGUAGUCCUGGCCGUAAACGAUGAACACUAGGUGUCGGGGGAAUCGACCCCUUCGGUGUCGUAGCUAACGCGUUAAGUGUUCCGCCUGGGGAGUACGCACGCAAGUGUGAAACUCAAAGGAAUUGACGGGGGCCCGCACAAGCGGUGGAGUAUGUGGUUUAAUUCGAUGCAACGCGAAGAACCUUACCAGGGUUUGACAUCCUGCGAACCUCUUAGAAAUUUGAGGGUGCCUUCGGGAAUGCAGUGACAGGUGGUGCAUGGCUGUCGUCAGCUCGUGUCGUGAGAUGUUGGGUUAAGUCCCGCAACGAGCGCAACCCACGUUUUUAGUUGCCAGCAUUUAGUUGGGCACUCUAGAAAGACCGCCGGUGAUAAACCGGAGGAAGGUGUGGAUGACGUCAAGUCAUCAUGCCCCUUACACCCUGGGCUACACACGUACUACAAUGCUACGGACAAAGGGCAGCAAACUCGCGAGAGCUAGCAAAUCCCAUAAACCGUGGCUCAGUUCAGAUCGUAGGCUGCAACUCGCCUACGUGAAGUAGGAAUCGCUAGUAAUCGCAGGUCAGCAUACUGCGGUGAAUACGUUCCCGGGCCUUGUACACACCGCCCGUCACACCAUGGAAGUUGGCCAUGCCCGAAGUCGUUACUCCAACCCUUGUGGAGGAGGACGCCGAAGGUGGGGCUAAUGACUGGGGUGAAGUCAUAACAAGGUAACCGUA